rnacentral:rRNA from 1 species
UAGUGAUUAACGCGAAGAACCUUACCCAGGCUUGAACUGCGAGUGACCACUCCCGAAAGGGGGCUUCCGCAAGGACACUCGUAGAGGUGCUGCAUGGCUGUCGUCAGCUCGUGUCGUGAGAUGUUGGGUUAAGUCCCGCAACGAGCGCAACCCUUGUUUGCUGUUGCCAUCAGGUAAUGCUGGGCACUCUGCAAAGACUGCCGGUGAUAAACCGGAGGAAGGUGGGGAUGACGUCAAGUCAGCAUGGCCUUUAUGUCUGGGGCUACACACGUGCUACAAUGGCCGAUACAAACCGUCGCAAAGCCGCAAGGUGGAGCUAAUCGGAGAAAGUCGGUCUCAGUUCGGAUAGCAGGCUGCAACUCGCCUGCUUGAAGUCGGAAUCGCUAGUAAUCGCGGAUCAACACGCCGCGGUGAAUACGUUCCCGGGCCUUGUCACACCGAAUCGAAUUCC